ACGCAACGUUGUCUGCCCAGCGACGCAAAAGCUGUCCAGAGUUCGUUGCUGUUCGGGAUCUAGCCUCUUGUCCAUAAACACAUAGGACCAGGCUGAGCACCGCUCCUCUGUUCUCGCUUCUUCCCCAUCACAACAACCUCUAGUACCACAGUUCAAUCAAAUCAAUCCACUGCCCCGAUGGCGAGGAUAUCGCUUCUCCUCGUACCGGAUCCAGCUGAGGGUUCGCUCUUCAUCCGCGGAUCAGAGGGGAUUGGAGACUGUCGAGGGGAUUUUAGACUUGCAAAGGACUUAAUCCCGGCGAACAACUUCAAUCCUGUUUAAUCCGCACCAAGCAACGUCGGACGUCUUCUAAAUCAGCCUACGAAGAUUCAAGCCAGGGGUGUUGAUUUGCAGUGCACCCCCUAGUUCAUAUGUGAGCUAUUUGCAAAGUCUUGGGACAGAGGGUACAAUGGACCUCAUCAAUCCCGAGAUCCUGGUGGAGUUCCACCUCGCGAAACUUCACCGAGCUGGGUCAUACAAAGGUUGCGUCGUUGUGUAUCCAGAGCCGAAUGCCGCCGCCUAUGACAUGUACCGCAUCUCCCCCAUCCUACCACAUGAAACCGCUAGGAAAGCGGCCAAUCGCAGACACAGGGCUCUCAAACCAAACCGUAAAUUCCCGUCUGGUGGCAAAAACAAGACUCUGAGUGGGCCUAAAGAGACCAAGACCCCUGUGCCAGACGCUGAGCAAACCAAGACGCAUGUGCCUGAGAACACCGAGCCCGCCGCCAUCUCUGAUGAGAUCAUUGAUGCCUAUCACACCCGGCGUCUCGAUGCUAAGGUUGCUGGAAUGGUGAAGCCAGAGUAAGGAAGGAAGGAAGUCUGGGACCUUUUUUUGCAUUAGUAAAUGGUAUGCCAACACUGUCUGUCAAUUUAUCUGUUCCAGUCUCUUGAGCUUUUAUGUUCAGGAAGAUUUGCUACAAGUUUGAGCACACAUUUGACACUCUGAAUGCCAAUGUUGUUUGACAGCACACAUUUGACACUCUGAAUGCCAAUGUUGUUUGACAUGACACAUUUGACACUCUGAAUGCCAAUGUUGUUUGUCAGUUUGUCACUUAGCUUUUAUUAUAUGCUCAGCAAGAUUUGAUAGAAGGUUGUGCGCCUAUUUGACACUCUGCAUGUUUCUUUGCAGUUACCACUUGUACCACUGAGAGACUGUUGGGGCAUUUCAGGCCAGUCUGCACCCGUGCUGUUCAUCAUCUGUCGUGCAAUAAACUUGAUCCAUGUUCUUGCCCUGAACUAAUGAGUCGCUAUUGUGAUACAUCCUGUGUAAAUGUUUUUGCUGGUUGGAUGGUUAUGUCUGGAACUUGAGAGUUUACCUUACUGAUGCAUUUUGCGCAAUGUUGGAUUCUUGGUGUUAUAUAUAUGGCGGUUAGUAA